UGGGGAUGUAGCUUAGUUGGUAGAGCGCCGCCUUUGCACGGCGGAGGUCAGGAGUUCGAGUCUCCUCAUCUCCAU
rnacentral:tRNA from 1 species